rnacentral:rRNA from 1 species
AUACGGAGGGUGCAAGCGUUACUCGGAAUCACUGGGCGUAAAGCGCGCGCAGGCGGCUUGAUAAGUUGGAUGUGAAAGCCUACGGCUCAACCGUAGAACUGCAUCCAAAACUGUCAGGCUAGAGUGUGGGAGAGGAAGGUGGAAUUAGUUGUGUAGGGGUAAAAUCCGUAGAGAUAACUAGGAAUACCAAAAGCGAAGGCAAUCUUCUGGAACACUACUGACGCUGAGGCGCGAAGGCGUGGGGAGCAAACAGGAUUAGAAACCCUAGUAGUCC